GUGUCAGCAGCCGCGGUAAUACGAAGGGGGCGAGCGUUGUUCGGAAUUACUGGGCGUAAAGGGCGCGUAGGCGGCCCGAUCAGUCAGAUGUGAAAGCCCCGGGCUCAACCUGGGAACUGCAUUUGAUACUGUCGGGCUUGAGUUCCGGAGAGGAUGGUGGAAUUCCCAGUGUAGAGGUGAAAUUCGUAGAUAUUGGGAAGAACACCGGUGGCGAAGGCGGCCAUCUGGACGGACACUGACGCUGAGGCGCGAAAGCGUGGGUAGCAAACAGGAUUAGAUACCCUCGUAGUC
rnacentral:rRNA from 1 species